UACGAAGGGGGCUAGCGUUGUUCGGAGUUACUGGGCGUAAAGGGCGCGUAGGCGGCGCACCAAGUCAGGCGUGAAAGCCCUGGGCUCAACCCGGGAAUUGCGCUUGAGACUGGUGUGCUUGAGUACGGGAGAGGAUAGUGGAAUUCCCAGUGUAGAGGUGAAAUUCGUAGAUAUUGGGAAGAACACCGGUGGCGAAGGCGGCUCACUGGCUCAUUUCUGACGCUCAGGCGCGACAGCGUGGGGAUCAAACAGG
rnacentral:rRNA from 1 species